UCCUAUCCGUAUCUGCGUUAAUCUGGAGAUCGAUCACAAGAGCUCGGUGUUUACCAAAGACUGAACUGGUAAGUUUUAAACUGCUGUGUAAUUACCGGUCAAGACUGUUACCUCCACUUCCGCCGACAUACUUCGGAAACUGCAUCGGAGCAGUCUCCACCGUCCCCAUCCCUUCCGGCGAUCUUCUCGCACGAAACCUUGGACAGACGGCUUCCCUAUUACACGGCAUCGUGAGUUCGGUGAAGGAUGACGUUAUAAUACGGAAAGAAAUCGACAGAUAUGUGUCGGAACCUGUAUUUUUCACAAUCAGUGGCUUCGCAAAGAACAAUGGUAUUGUGAUGACAAGCUCACCGCGGUUUGAGGUAUACGAGUGUGAGUUUGGGUUGGGAAAGCCGGUCGGAGUAUUGAUCGGAGGUGCUAAUAUAUAUGACGGGAAGGUGACAUCUUUUCCCGGAAGAGAAGGGCAUGGGAGCAUGGAUAUGGUUAUUUGUCUCUCGCCG
rnacentral:lncRNA from 1 species